rnacentral:rRNA from 1 species
UACGAAGGGGGCUAGCGUUGCUCGGAAUCACUGGGCGUAAAGCGCACGUAGGCGGAUUGCUAAGUCAGGGGUGAAAUCCUGGAGCUCAACUCCAGAACUGCCUUCGAUACUGGCGAGCUCGAGUUCGGGAGAGGUGAGUGGAACUGCGAGUGUAGAGGUGAAAUUCGUAGAUAUUCGCAAGAACACCAGUGGCGAAGGCGGCUCACUGGCCCGAUACUGACGCUGAGGUGCGAAAGCGUGGGGAGCAAACAGG